AAGAGGACACCAAUGUUGUCCCAGCGAAGAAAUCCCCGCACGCAUGAUGCAGAUCAGCGAGUUCCUGCCCGCUGCGCCGGUGCAGUUAAUUUUAGCCAGGGUUUGUUCUAUGAGUUGUAAACCUGUUUACCCAAGUAGAAGUUAGCAAGCUGAAAUGUGACUUCUCCGCCCCAUGUGAGAGGCGUCUAUUUUAGACUCAGGUUGUUGGUGAUCCCCAGAGAGCAGUCUUUGAAGAAUUGCAGCCCGGAUUUCCUUUGGAAGCACUUCAAACAACCAACGGGACACCUAGUGGGCACUUAACACAAAUACCUAGUGAAUUAUUCCGUUGCACCGUCCAAGGCCACAGGUGCUCCGCCCUUGCCCGUAAAGAAGGUCACAGGCCAAUAAGCCAGAGACAAACAGGCCCAGUUACCGGGUCGGGCCGCCUGACGCCAGAUGUGACUGUUUUGAAAUAAUGCAAGAAGAAGAAAAAUGCAAGACCUUCAUGACUUCGAUCCUUAUCAUACACCCCCGGACUUCGAGCCCCACCUAUAAGAUCUCCUCUGAUUCCUCGGGAAGUGAGGGCACAGUUCUUGAGGCGCUAGCCUGCUGUGUUUUCCCCUUUGCCUGGCAAAGAAUUAAAAGCUAUCUUUCUUUUCCUCCAAAAA